rnacentral:misc_RNA from 1 species
ACCGAUCGUAAAGUUCGAGCGCCCGCCCAUAACAUAAAGCUUGCCUUCGAAGCUGCAGCCGAAACAGCCCCACCUUGGGCGACGGAUGCUCUCAAUUAGAGUCCACUUGUUCGUGUCUGGGUCGUAAACUUCAGUACUAGAUAGACUGGUACCCUGAGAUCCAUAGCCACCAACUACAUAUAUGAGACCAUCUACUUCGGCACAAGCAAAGUCAUAGCGAGCAAUAUUCAUCUUCGCAAUCAUAUUCCAUCUGUUAAGCCGAGAUUCAUAUUGGUAUACAUCAUCCGAAACAUAUUGUAUCCCCUCAUCAACCGAAUAACCAGCCAUAACGAACAGGUUUCCAUCUUGAACGACG